rnacentral:tRNA from 1 species
GCAUCAAUGGGGUAGUGGUAACCUGGGUCGUUGCCAUUCAACAUCCAAUCGACAAUCGACAAAUUUCAUCGACCCGCCGGGGGUUCAAUUCCCCACUGAUGCA